rnacentral:lncRNA from 1 species
GCCAGAUAAGGGAAGCAGGCCUCCGAAGCCAGCAGUGGCAACCCACUUGGGUCCCUUUCAAUGCUGUGGAAGCGUUGUUCUUUCACUCUUCUCAAUAAAUCUUGCUGCUGCUCACUCUUUGGGUCUGCCCCGCUGUUAUGAGCUGUAACACUCACAGCCAGUGUCUGCAGUUUCACUCCUGAAGCCAGCAAGACCACAAACCCACAGGGCGGGACAAACAACUCCGGACAGGAGGAAUGAACAACUCUGGACGCGCCACUUCUAUGAACUUUUAUGAACUGUAACACUCACCGCAAAGGUCUGCAGCUUCACCCCUGAGGCCAGGGAGACCACGAACCCACCGGAAGGAAUGAACAACUCCAGACGCACUGCCUUUAAGAGCUGUAACACUUACCACGGAUGUCUGCAGCUUCACUCCUGAAGUCAGCGAGACCACAAACCCAACAGAAGGAAGAAACUCCCGACACAUCUGAACAUCUGAAGGAACAAACUCUGGACACACCAUCUUUAAGAACUGUAACACUCACCGUGAGGGUCAACCGCUUCAUUCUUGAAGUCAGCCAGACCAAGAACCCACCAAUUCCGGACUAAUCAAGAAAACAACUUGACCCAUGGAGAAUGGAGAAAAGCAAGGCAGGAUGAUCAUCCACCAGGCAGCAAUACGGAACCAAGGGGACCUCCCCUGCCCUAGGAAGUGAGUCUCACUUUGUUGCCUAAGCUAGAGUGCAGCGUCGUGAUCAAGGCUCACUGCAGCCUCAACAUCCUGAUCCCCAGUGUUCCUCCCACCUCAACCUCCCAAGUAGCUGGGACCACAGUCUAUCUGAAUCAUGUUAUUGGACCAUGAGAGCAAGCAGCUGGAUCUCAUUCUGUCCAGGUACAAAUAUACUAAAUUAACAUAAGUAGCAUAUCAUAUGUGUCAUAUGUGUGCUGAAUAUGUUAUAUUUAAUAACUAAAAAACCUUAAAACCUUACUUUUUUGGUACUUUUAAAUACCAAGAAUUAAUUAAUUAAUUAAUUAAUUUAGCUUGUGUCCAUUUCCUCUUACAAGUAUAUAGGAAACUUUUUACUCUCUGAAUCUUUAUAAAAUUGCAAGUCUUGGUGAACAGUAAUUGUCUUCUUGGAUAAUAUUUAUGCAAAGAGUGUUUGGAGACAUCUAUAUUCUGGAUAAAACUAAUUAUUUAAUACAGUACUUUUUUUAAAGGACAUGCUAUUUUAACUUCACUUCAGCAAAGUUUAUCUGUAGGCACUUAUAUAUGCACUUAAAACAAAAUUUAAAUAAAUGAGCAUGAUUUUUUUCCUUACUUUAAGUGGACUGGCAUCUUUCCCAUAUGUUUUGCAUGUAACAACAUUCCCAAAAAGUUAAGUGCAUCUAGGAUACACCUUAUUUAAUAACCUUAGCACCAGCUGCUCAUAUUCACUGCCAGAAAUCAUGCUUUUUUGUACACAGCCUAAAGGCAAAAAAAAAUAAAAAGUGAUUUAGAAGCUGCUACUAGGCUGAAAGGUAAAUCAGUGUUCCACAUAAUUCAAAACUUACUUUUUAUAAAAAAGCAAAUAAAAGCACAAAAGUAAUUUUAGCUGAAUAUUUAAAAAGUAAUUCUAUAUGGUAUGACACUUACUACAACAGAAACUUUUGCUUACUUUCAUAGGACUCCUGGAAACAGCAGCUCUAACAAAAUUGUCUUCAAUAAAUAAGUUUUUUUGCAUCACAUUUGUGUAUGUCCUGAAUGUUCUGAGCCCUUCAGAUUUGACUCAUAUUCAUGCUAAAAGAAAAAAUGCAAAUGAAAAUUGUAUAGCUAAUUAUGAGAAAAAUAAAGCAUCAUAAGAAAACCA